GCUUGUUUCGGGGGAUAUUAACUUCCCACCAUGUCUGUUCUGCUCCUCACAGAGCCAGCUCACUCCUGGGAGUAACAAGGGCUUUCAGAUGGAGAUGUGCAGGCGCUCAAGGUAGAAGUCAUUUGCCUGUCGGGGAACUGUCCACCCACGCUGCUGGCGCCCUCCUAAGAAUUGUUGAUUGCAAACACAAGUGCAUGUGAGUGUAGAGGGACAGGCCUGCUCUCUGUAUCCCUCUCCUGGCCCUCCCUGUGCUUUUGCUUUGGUCAGCAGGCUAAAGGAGGAGGACUCUGUAUCUUGCUGAGCCUUCUUAGCUUGGAUUCUUUGAUGAAACACCACCAUAUUGGAGCAUUCCACCUGCCAAAGAACUGAAGGCAAGCUUCAGCCAACAGCCAGCAAGGAACUAAGAUCUUCAGCCCAAAGCCACAGGGAACUGAGUCCUGCCAACUGCCACAUCAGUGAGCAUAGAUGGGAUCCUCCACAGUUGAACUUUCAGAUAAGACCAGAGCCACACCUGACAAUUUGAUUGCAGCCUUGCAGACAACCCUGAAGCAGAGGACCCAGUUCAAUCAUGCUGGGAUUCCUGACCCACAGAAUCCAUGAGAAAAUAAAUGUGUGUGUUUAAGCCUCUACAUUUUGAGGCAAUUUGUUAUACAGCAAGAGAUAAUGAAUACUUUUGUUAUUUUUCAUUUUAGGUAAAUUAUUUCUACUUUGCAAGUUUGCGUAAUAAGUCUAGUAAAUCCUUCUGUAGUCAUGAAAUAAUACAGAAGUAAGAAAAAAAAUCCCAUUUUCUUGAAUGAGAAAGCAAGGUGCUGACAUAACAUUGUGAUCCUCUGUCCUAGGUCUCUCCUUCCAUCCAUGGCUGGGGCAAAGCAUUUCGUAAGGGGAUCUUUGCCUGCACUACUCCUCCCAGGUGGACAUCUCUUCUCUGUGAUUUUCACUGAGAGCAUUUAUUCAACAUGGAUUUGAGUUCCUAGUAUGAGCUUGAAAUCAUGGAGGAAUAAGACAUAUGGAGAUUUGAUGUGCAUAUCUCACGUCCUGCCUCCAUGCCAUUUCUCAUAUUGUAACUCCUCUUGGGAGCCUCUUCCUUCUUCAUUUUGACUUUCAAAAUUUUGUGCCGAUUACAAAGCCCCACAUUCUCUAUGAUGUUUUCUUUCCAACCCUCUGGUGCCCAUCCACCUGUAAAUGUCUAUGACAACAGAACCACAUAGCAAAGGCUGAUGUCAUCAAUUCUCUCUGAGUUAACCUCCGACUUGGUAAGAUGUGUGAGCCUUUAUCAGUUAUGAACAGGGAAUGAGUCAAACCAAGUUAUAGUUCCUAAAAUAGUUACAUGACCCCUAAGCAGCCUUGUUAUAAAAUGCUCUAAGAUGAAAUUAAAAGGUCACACAAUUAUUGUUUUUACUUCCAAGGUUCAGAAAUAUACUUAACACAUUUUAGCUCUUAAUUAUUUUUAGUUCUAUAAUACUAAGUCUUCUAAUGAAUAUUAACUUAAAGCUGGGCAUUAAACAUUCAACUGUGAACUAAAUGUAAACUCUCUGACCCUAGGCAAACAGAAUUUAAUUUUUUAAAAAUGUGGAAAUCUAAUUAGCUAUCACACUUAGGCCCCAUGAGGCCACUCGUAAUGUGUAACUGAUACUUCCAGGUGUCCUGCUGGUGGCUUGAAUCAAUUAGUGAUCUUUAUUGAAGCUGAAUAUAAUUAAUUACACAACUUUGAGAUGUUCAAGUCUAAUUUCACUAAAAUUACAUCAUAAAGCUGGGGCAUUUCAGGGCUUCUGACAGAAAAAAAAACAAGCAUGAAUAAUUACUCAGUUAAAUUCAUGGCACAUAAAUUCAUACCACAAAAUUGAACUCCUUUAGCUUACCGUUGUCAGAGAUAAAAAUGCCCUGGGGUCACACACAUAGGAUUGUUGAACAGGUGCUCACUACUGAAGAAACAUGUGUGUUACUUAUCUAAACUAUAAGCCUAUCGGGGGACUAUGUGCACAGAUAUUUUUCUGAAACAUGUAAGUUAAUUGCUUAUUCACUAGGAUGACACCACCAAGACCUAUUUCUGACAUGAGGUGUGUUCCCUGUCAUCCUAGCUGCAAUAAAGGCCUGAGCAAUAGGAACUAUUACAGAAAACCAGAUCCAACACAUACAAAAACUUAGGAUCAUAAAAUACUUGAGAAUCGAAGCUAAUCUUGCCUCUUCCUCUAGUCUCCCUAAAAUGUGAUUGUAGGUUACAUCUGAGACAAAAUAUCAAAGAAAUUCGAGAUAGUUUCUCAGCAUCUAUGUCAGUUAUCUAUUACCACAUUAAUACUGUGUAACAAAGCGCCCUAAAGGUAAAGUCUUAAAAGAAGACACAUUUACUAUUGCUCAUGAGUCUACAGGUCAACAGAGUGGUUUUGUUCUGCUGAUCUUGGUGAGUUUGUUUGGCAAGCUGUGGUUUGAACCAAGGCUUACUAACUUGUCCGGUGGUAGGCAAGCUUUUGGCUGAUUGAGGAUGCCUCUGUUCCAUGGGCAUGUUUUUAUGAAGAUCUCAGGGGUGAGAAAGGAAGAGAGAGAGAGAGAGCUGCAAGGCUUCAUGAAGCCUGGCCUCAGAAAUGGCACCACAUCACUUUUCCAACAUUCUGUCCCCAAAGCAAGACACAGACCAGUGCAGAUUCAAGGAGUGGGGAAAUAGACUCUACCUCUUAGAGGAAGAACUUGUAAAGUCACAAAGUAAAGAAAGGGGGGAAAAUUCGGUCUAUUUCCCAAUCAAUCUACUACAGCAUCCAGAAAUGGAUGGACUUAUUCACGUUUGCACUCAGAAAUAUGUAGUUCAUUUUCAUUAUUCUUGAUAGUCAUAUUCUAUAAAGAUACCGUGAACAUGCAUUUGUGGGUACUGAAUUAUUGCUUCAAGGGGAAAUUUGCUUUAUAUAGGUUUAUUUGUCAACAUUAUUCUUGUGAAACAAGCCAGUCUCAUCAGUGCUGAAAAUUGUGCUCUUCCACUUAGCCCUUUUCCUGUAUAAUACUUAGCAGG
rnacentral:lncRNA from 10 species